UUUCAUCAAAACAGAAGAAAGUGCGAUUGGGCGAUAGGCAGAAUGGUCUGAAGAACACCUAUUAGGUUUCAGUACGGGAAUUAUUUCUUGACGUUUCCACGUGGAGGGGAUGUUACCAGAUGUCACUAUGGAAUUUAUAAGAGAUAAAUAAUAAAAUAAAGCAUUAUCAUCUAAAUGAGAGAUAAAGGAAUACGGAAUACCAUCCAGUCCAGGAGCAGAAUCCUUAACAUGAGACAAUACACCUUUUAGUUCAGUGAGAGAAAAUAUACUGUUUAAACCAAAACAGUUAUCAUUAUUUAUAUUUAUUACAGGGUAACCAAUUAUUAAGUCUUCAGGAACGAAAGGUGGAGCCAAUUUAUCUAAAAAGCUAUUAACUAAAUGAAAAGGGAUUGAUUUUGGAGAUGAAUCUUUGUAUGCAGAUCUAAACCUUCUUAUAUUUUGCCAUACAAGAGAUGGUUUGACAUCAGCAUAUUUUCUUCUCUUUACUGCCUCAGUACAUUCGUUAUCCCACCAAGGAGGAGAAGGAAUAAAACCCAAAGAGCUAUUUUUACUUGGAAAUAUCUCAUUGGCAACCUCAAUAAAGAUUCUUGCUAAAGAAUCUGCACACUGAGAUUCUGUACCUGGAUUAAUUUUUGGAAGUGUUGGAAAUGAUAAUAAUAGUGGGAAGUGAUCACUACCAAAAGUAGAUCGUAAUGGAUCCCAGGACAAAGAGGAAGCAAGAUUAGGUGUAGUGACUGUUAAAUCUGGAGCACUUGGGCCCUCGUCAGGAUGAGAACGUCGUGUAGGACGACCAUCAUUUAAUAUACACAAAUUCACUGAAUCAAAUAUAUCUAUUAAUGUGUUACCAUAACUAUUAGAAGAUAAGUAACCCCAGGAUUCAUGGCGACAGUUAAAAUCACCAAGGAUCAUAAAAGGCUUCGGAAGAAUGGAAAUAAUAUCUUUAAUUUCAUUUAAGAUUGCAGAAGAAGGAUGAGGUAUAUAAAUAGAUACAUAACAGAUAUUUUCAACUAAAGCAGCAAUAAUAGAAAAAUCAUUACUGUGAGAAGGAAUAGAGAAGAGAGAAAAGGAAAGAGGGUGUUUCACAAGCAUGGCUACUCCGCCAUGCCCAUCCACACGAUCUUCUCUGAGACAUGAAUAACCACGAAUCUUAAAUAAAGAUCCUGGUUUCAACCAUGUCUCUUGAAGAGCACAGAUAUAAGGUUUAUAUUUAUUUAAUAAAUAAAUAAGAUCACUUUUUUUAGGAGUGAUGCUUUGACAAUUCCAUUGAAGAACUUUGUCCAUUAUUUGGUUUAUAAAUUUGAGUAAUUGCAGAAACUAAUAAGGCAGCGUUGGACGGUAAAAAUUCAUUCGAUUGACUAAGAGAUUUUAUAAGAGAAAUAAUUAAAUCAAUUACUGAGGAUUCCAAAGGAUUUUCAUUUUCUUUGUUAAUUAAUGCACAUCCAUUAGAGGGUUGGGGAAUAUUAAAAUCCCUUAAAAUUUCUUGUGUCUGCAUAUUCUGGGUCGAGCUGACACUCUUUUACGGCCACUAGAUGUCUGAGACACAGAACCAUCUGUAUCCAUAGUGCUACCUUCGUCAUUAUUAGAAAUUGUCACUACAUGACCUAUAUCAGGGGCUGUCCCCCCAGGAUCAUCCGGGGGGUCCAUCAUAUUAUAGAAAAGUGAAGAAAAGAAGACUUACCAAUAGGAUGAAAUUUACACAAAUUAACACUUUAAUAAAAACUAACUACUAAAAUAUAUACAAACUACAACUUAUCUGAUCAAAAUAUCUAAA